rnacentral:rRNA from 1 species
UACAGAGGGGGCAAGCGUUGUUCGGAAUUACUGGGCGUAAAGGGCGCGUAGGCGGCCUGCUAAGUCGAACGUGAAAUCCCUGGGCUCAACCCAGGAACUGCGUCCGAUACUGGUUGGCUUGAAUCCGGGAGAGGGAUGCGGAAUUCCACGUGUAGCAGUGAAAUGCGUAGAGAUGUGGAGGAACACCGAUGGCGAAGGCAGCCUCCUGGGCCAGCACUGACGCUCAUGCACGAAAGCGUGGGGAGCAAACAGG